rnacentral:rRNA from 1 species
UACGGGGGGUGCAAGCGUUGUCCGGAUUUAUUGGGUUUAAAGGGUGCGCAGGCGGCCUUGUAAGUCAGUGUUUAAAUUUAGCCGCUUAACGGUUAGUAUGGCAUUGAUACUGUGAGGCUUGAGUGAAGUAGAGGCAGGCGGAAUUUAUGGUGUAGCGGUGAAAUGCAUAGAUACCAUAAAGAACACCGAUAGCGAAGGCAGCUUGCCAUGUUUCAACUGACGCUCAUGCACGAAAGCGUGGGGAUCAAACAGG